rnacentral:misc_RNA from 1 species
UGGCGUUGAGGCUGAUCCUUGCCGUGGAAUCGAGAUCCUUCAAGUUUAUUCCAAGGAGAUCAGCAAGAGGAUGCUGGAAAUGGUUAGGAAUAAAGCGUGUAAGCGGCAUGGUGGUGCCUUUCUAGUGAGGAAAUGUCUCCAUCAUGUGAUUGCUUGAUUAAUUUAUCGUGUUAAAAUGUGAUUUUUAGUUUUUGGGUUUUGAUUGAUUGCAAUGUCGGUGCCGCA